rnacentral:rRNA from 1 species
UACGAAGGGGGCUAGCGUUGCUCGGAAUCACUGGGCGUAAAGCGCACGUAGGCGGGUUGCUAAGUCAGGGGUGAAAUCCUGGAGCUCAACUCCAGAACUGCCUUUGAUACUGGCGGCCUUGAGUCCGGGAGAGGUGAGUGGAACUGCGAGUGUAGAGGUGAAAUUCGUAGAUAUUCGCAAGAACACCAGUGGCGAAGGCGGCUCACUGGCCCGGUACUGACGCUGAGGUGCGAAAGCGUGGGGAGCGAACAGG